rnacentral:tRNA from 1 species
GGUUGUGGCCUAGUGGUAGAGCACUCGUCUAGCAUGCGUGAGGCACUGGAUUCAAUCCCAGGACCA